UUUAAUAAAUCAUCAUAAUUUAUUUGUGAGAUUUCUACAUCAGAUUGUGGCUUAAAAGCACUUAUAUUAUGUGUGAUAUGAAGAGAAUGAUGUACAAUCAAUAUAAAUCUUGUUAAAUCUCUCUUCCAUGGACUUUCUCCAUCUUCCUGCUUAGCAAUAAAAGGCAUUUUUAGGUUUAUAUAAACAUUCUUUACAACUGCCCCCUUAACAAAAAAUCACUAUAUAAAUAGCACUAGGCAUUUAGUAAAUAAGUCACAGGCCAGUAAGUUCAAUUGUGCAGUUGUGAAAUGUAAUGUGAAAGAGUUUGAAACCUUAAGACUGAGUGAUCUGCAGCGUUUCCAACAUAUCAGAAGAGCACACGU